GAUGAACGCUGGCGGCGUGCCUAACACAUGCAAGUCGAGCGGCAGCGAGGGGUGCUUGCACCCUGUCGGCGAGCGGCGGACGGCUGAGUAACGCGUGGGAACGUGCCCCAAAGUGAGGAAUAACUGCCCGAAAGGGUAGCUAAUACCGCAUAUUAUCUUCGGAUCAAAGGAUUUAUCCGCUUUGGGAGCGGCUCGCGUCGGAUUAGGUAGUUGGUGAGGUAAUGGCUCACCAAGCCGACGAUCCGUAGCUGGUCUGAGAGGAUGACCAGCCAGACUGGAACUGAGACACGGUCCAGACUCCUACGGGAGGCAGCAGUGAGGAAUCUUCCACAAUGGGCGAAAGCCUGAUGGAGCAACGCCGCGUGCAGGACGAAGGCCUUCGGGUUGUAAACUGCUUUUAUAAGUGAGGAAUAUGACAGUAACUUAUGAAUAAGGAUCGGCUAACUACGUG
rnacentral:rRNA from 1 species